rnacentral:rRNA from 1 species
AUUGAACGCUGGCGGCAGGCCCAACACAUGCAAGUCGAGCGGAUGAAGGGAGCUUGCUCCUGGAUUCAGCGGCGGACGGGUGAGUAAUGCCUAGGAAUCUGCCUGGUAGUGGGGGAUAACGUCCGGAAACGGGCGCUAAUACCGCAUACGUCCUGAGGGAGAAAGUGGGGGAUCUUCGGACCUCACGCUAUCAGAUGAGCCUAGGUCGGAUUAGCUAGUUGGUGGGGUAAAGGCCUACCAAGGCGACGAUCCGUAACUGGUCUGAGAGGAUGAUCAGUCACACUGGAACUGAGACACGGUCCAGACUCCUACGGGAGGCAGCAGUGGGGAAUAUUGGACAAUGGGCGAAAGCCUGAUCCAGCCAUGCCGCGUGUGUGAAGAAGGUCUUCGGAUUGUAAAGCACUUUAAGUUGGGAGGAAGGGCAGUAAGUUAACACCUUGCUGUUUUGACGUUACCAACAGAAUAAGCACCGGCUAACUUCGUG